GCUGGGCGUGGUGGCGCAUGCCUGUAAUCCCAGCUACUCGGGAGGCUGAGGCAGGAGAAUUGCUUGAACCCGGGAGUCGGAGGUUGCAGUGAGCUGAGAUUGCGCCAUUGAACUCCAGCCUGGGUGACAGAGCGACUCUGUCUCAA
rnacentral:sRNA from 1 species